GAAAUCUUUUUUUGACAGAGUUUGUUUUAUUUCGUCAGUUCGUCGAGUUUUCGAAUAAUUCCAAUAACCCCUCUCGCCCAUUCCUUUUCCAAAUAUCCCACGGCGUAACCCUAAACCAAUAUAACUUUCCCGGUUUUUCGAAUCUGCUGAUUUUCUUUGUAAAAGUAAAAUACUUGUCCCCGACACUCACUUAUACGCGAAACUUUUAGUCGCAAUAUGCAUC